GGUAAAAAAGCUCGUAGUUGGAUUUCUGUUGAGAGCGACCGGUCCAUACCACGUAUGCGUAUCUGGCUUGCUCUCGGCAUCCUCUCGAUAGACGUUGCUGCGCUUGAUUGCGUGGCGCGGAUCUCGGGACUUUUACUUUGAGGAAAUUAGAGUGUUCACGGCAGGCUUUCGCCAGAAUACAUUAGCAUGGAAUAAUACUAUAGGAUCUUGGUUCUAUUUUGUUGGUUUCUAGAAUUGAGAUAAUGAUUAAUAGGGACAAUUGGGGGCAUUCGUAUCAACACGUCAGAGGUGGAAUUCUUGGAUUGUGUUGCGACGAACUACUGCGAAAGCAUUUGCCAAGGAUGUUUUCAUUGAUCAAGAACGAAAGUAAGGGGAUCGAAGACGAUUAGAUACCGUCGUAGUCUUUACCAUAAACUAUGCCGACUAGAGAUGGGGCAUCGUUCAUUUACGACUUGCUCCGCACCUUAUGAGAUAUCAAAGUUUUUGGGUUCCGGGGGGAGUAUGGUCGCAAGACUGAAACUUAAAGGAAUUGACGGAAGGGCACCACCAGGAGUGGAGCCUGCGGCUUAAUUUGACUCAACACGGGGAAACUCACCAGGUCCAGACAUAAUAAGGAUUGACAGAUUGAUAGCUCUUUCUUGAUUUUAUGGGUGGUGGUGCAUGGCCGUUCUUAGUUCGUGGAGUGAUUUGUCUGCUUAAUUGCGUUAACGAAC
rnacentral:rRNA from 1 species